rnacentral:rRNA from 1 species
UAACACAUGCAAGUCGAACGGACCUAGCCCGGUAGUAAUAUUGGGCGACGGUUAGUGGCGAACGGGUGAGUAACGCGUGAGCAACCUGCCUUUCAGAGGGGGAUAACAACUGGAAACAGUUGCUAAUACCGCAUAAUGUAUUUAGAUGGCAUCAUUUGGAUACCAAAGGUUAAAUCCGCUGAGAGAUGGGCUCACGUCUGAUUAGCUAGAUGGUAGGGUAAGGGCCUACCAUGGCUGCGAUCAGUAGCCGGUCUGAGAGGAUGAACGGCCACAUUGGGACUGAGACACGGCCCAGACUCCUACGGGAGGCAGCAGUGGGGAUAUUGGGCAAUGGGCGCAAGCUGACCCAGCAACGCCGCGUGAAGGAUAAGGCCUUCGGGUUGUAAACUUCUUUUAUUAGGGACGAAGGAUGUGACGGUACUAAUGAUAAGCACGGCUAACUACGUGCAGCAGCCGCGGUAUACGUAGUGGCAGCGUGUCCGGAUUUACUGGGUGUAAAGGGCGCGUAGGCGGGAAUGCAAGUCAGAUGUGAAAUCCAUGGGCUCAACCCAUGAACUGCAUUUGAAACUGUGUUUCUUGAGUGAUGGAGAGGCAGGCGGAAUUCCUAGUGUAGCGGUGAAAUGCGUAGAUAUUAGGAGGAACACCAGUGGCGAAGGCGGCCUGCUGGACAUCAACCGACGCUGAUGCGCGAAAGCGCGGGGAGCAAACAGGAUUAGAUACCCUGGUAGUCCGCGCCGUAAACGAUGAAUACUAGGUGUGGGGGGACUGACCCCUUCCGUGCCGGAGCAAACGCAAUAAGUAUUCCACCUGGGGACUACGGUCGCAAGACUAAAACUCAAAGGAAUUGACGGGGGCCCACACAAGCAGUGGAUUAUGUGGUUUAAUUUCGAAAGCAAACGCGAAAGAACCCUUACCCGGGGGUUUGACAUCCGACUAAACGAAGCAGAGAUGCAUUAGGUGCCCUUCGGGGAAAGUCGAGACAGGUGGUGCAUGGUUGUCGUCAGCUCGUGUCGUGAGAUGUUGGGUUAAGUCCCGCAACGAGCGCAACCCUUGUUGUUAGUUGCUACGUAAGAGCACUCUAACGAGACUGCCGUUGACAAAACGGAGGAAGGUGGGGACGACGUCAAAUCAUCAUGCCCCUUAUAUCCCGGGCUACACACGUAAUACAAUGGCGUUUAACAACGGGAAGCGAAGGAGCGAUCCGGAGCGAAUCCCCAAAAGGCGUCUCAGUUCGGAUUGCAGGCUGCAACUCGCCUGCAUGAAGUAGGAAUUGCUAGUAAUCGCGGAUCAGCAUGCCGCGGUGAAUACGUUCCCGGGCCUUGUACACACCGCCCGUCACACCAUGAGAGUCGGGAACACCCGAAGUCGGUAGUCUAACCUGAUAAGGAGGGCGCCGCCGAAGGUGGGCUUGAUAAUUAGGGUG